rnacentral:rRNA from 1 species
GCCGGAUUAGCUAGUUGGUAGGGUAACGGCCUACCAAGGCGACGAUCCGUAGCUGGUCUGAGAGGACGACCAGCCACACUGGGACUGAGACACGGCCCAGACUCCUACGGGAGGCAGCAGUGGGGAAUAUUGGACAAUGGGGGAAACCCUGAUCCAGCGACGCCGCGUGUGUGAAGAAGGCCUGCGGGUUGUAAAGCACUUUUAGUGGGGAUGAAAAGUUCAGGGCUAAUAUCUCUGAAUCUUGACCUAACCCAAAGAAAAAGCACCGGCUAACUCUGUGCCAGCAGCCGCGGUAAUACAGAGGGUGCAAGCGUUAAUCGGAAUUACUGGGCGUAAAGCGUGCGUAGACGGUUAUGUAAGUCAGGUGUGAAGGCCCCGGGCUCAACCUGGGAAUUGCAUUUGAGACUGCAUAGCUAGGGUACGGAAGAGGGAAGCGGAAUUUCAGGUGUAGCGGUGAAAUGCGUAGAUAUCUGAAGGAACACCAGUGGCGAAAGCGGCUUCCUGGUCCAGUACCGACGUUCAGCACGAAAGCGUGGGGAGCA